rnacentral:rRNA from 1 species
UACGUAGGGUGCAAGCGUUGUCCGGAAUUAUUGGGCGUAAAGAGCUCGUAGGCGGUCUGUCGCGUCUGCUGUGAAAAUCCAGGGCUCAACCCUGGACCUGCAGUGGGUACGGGCAGACUAGAGUGCGGUAGGGGAGAUCGGAAUUCCUGGUGUAGCGGUGAAAUGCGCAGAUAUCAGGAGGAACACCGGUGGCGAAGGCGGAUCUCUGGGCCGUAACUGACGCUGAGGCUCGAAAGCGUGGGGAGCAAACAGG